GGCCGCGUGGCGCAGUGGUAAGGCGCUUGCCUCCAAAAAAUAGGACGCGGGUUCGAACCCACCGGGGGUA